GAGUUUUUCUUCUCAUGAGGAAUUAGUAUACCAAUCAAUUCUUUGCCGAAGCUUUUGGCCGAAUUGGAGGAUGGAAGCUUGAAUUACAAUUAGAGGUUCUGAAGGAAUGAGAAGUGGACGUGCAUGACUUGGAUUAAUUGGUGGAUAUGCAAUUCCUCGCCUACAUUUCGAGCAGAC